CGUAGAUGGGUCAUUGACGACUGGGUCUGAGCCGAGGGUACCGAUUGCUAGAAAGCCAUGGAAGAGUUCUGAAAUUGCUGCUGAUGAUUCUUCUUCAAAGUCAUCUUCUUCUUCUUCUCUUGCUGCUUCUAGACCAGCGAAUGACUUUCGAAGGUAGUAGUCUCGUUGCCUUAAGGGCUUGGUGCCAUAGUUUGACUUUGGGUAGUAUUGUUGGUCAUCCAGUGAUCUUUGUCCUGAAAAACAAUUGACAGACUGAUCUGACAAGCAAAAUGUAGAAGGAAGUAGGCUAAUAAUGGGGUUACCUGGGGGAGAAGACUUUGCAUUGGCAUUUCAACAGGAAUGCCAUAUAGGUUAUUAUUAAUUUAUUUUAAAUUUUAAAAUCCUUUCUCUCUCUUCUAGGAUGUCUCAAGCAAAUAGAUGAUGUUAGCAUACUAAUAUCACGGUUCUUUAGUCUGUUUAUGCCCAAUAAUCAGGUCUUCUUACCUCAGAAUUCUUUCCAUUGUUGGUGGAUGAUUUGGUACAAUUUGAUGGUGGAUCAACAAUGCCUUUUUGUAUUGAUGUUGUGAGGUCACACUAGUGUGCCUUUUGAAGUUUAGGUACUUGUGUGAUCUUGAUAUAUCAGGAAUAAAAAAUCUAUAUAUUGCGGGAUCCUCCAUUUGAUAAGUCCUAAUUAGUCAACUAACUACGAAAAAACCAUCUCUAUUGGAUUAAUUUUUUACCAUCCACAGCCUCAUACACUUCCUUUCUUAAACAGCCUUUUCCAUUUGUGGAAAUAUAGCCAAAAUUAGAAGGAAAUCAUUGAAACGAGUUGUUUCCUUGUGUUUAAUCCAUUGAAUUGGCCCAUUAGAUGGAAACAUUUCUUUAUGGUGCUGCCAUGACAAGAUCAUACAAGUCUAAUACAAAGAUCCAAGUGCUUAAUGUGAUCUUGCCACAAUAGCAUAAAAGAUUUCAAUUUUAUCAAUUUUAAGCAUUGGAAUUUCAUGCUCUUUUUUUUGCUCUAUUUUUCAUAAUAACUUGAUGAAAAAGGUUAUACUAAUUGAACAUGGAUGACCUUCAAUACAUAUGAUCAUUAAAUGGUGUUUCUGUAUGCUUUUUGGUGCUAAAGUGGUGAAAUCACAUAGGCACCAUUGAAUUCUUAGAGUGGUAGCAUGUGGAGAAAUGAUUACAAGAUUACGGGUAAAAAUGGAAUUUUUGUAACACCUUUUAUCUCUGCCAAAUUCAAAGAUCCCUUUGAAGCUCAGGAAGCAGUUGGACACACUUUAAAGUUCCAGAAUAAAUGGGUAAUUUAGUAAUUUUAGGGGUCAAAGUUUAAUUUAACCUAGUGUCUACUACUGUGCAGUUUGUUAGGAUUUAUCAAUGGGGAUGUGCCUUUGUCCAUGAUGAAUUUUAUUGAUUGACUGAGCUCUAAGUAAGGUGAGGGAGCUGUUUUUUGUGUAUCCCUUUGCUUUAGAUGGCCUUUUGGCCCCUUUGUAAAUACUAUGUAAGGUUGUAUGCACCCUUUUGUUAGACGUUGCUGAUAUAUAUGGUCUUUGUCUAUCAAAAAAAGAAACGAGGAAAAAAAACCCAAAAGGGAUAAGUGCUUCAUAAAAGGCUAGCUAAUUACACACACAGGUGUUUCUUGGAGUGAUUCUGUUACCAGGUAGAUUAGGUCUAAUUUAGAUUGCACUUGUCUUCCCAAGCUUAGCACAUAGCUUAUCGAGUUUCCCUUGGUCCAUUAUGCAUCUAGCAGCAAGCUUACAUGAGCCAGCACACUAGGAACUCUAUUAAUACACACAUGCGCAUACAUGCUUACACACAUGUGAAAUAUGGUCACCUAUGAUCAUGUUUACACUAAAUUAUCAUGGAAGGCCAUGCAAUGACUAACCAGUUUGAUGGAUAUAUGAAACGAUGUGUCUUUAGGAACAUAUGAGCAGAAAAAUGCAGAUAAGAGAACAGGACUCACCGAUGGCAAAAUCUUUGAGUGGCUCACUGCUAUUCUGCCGGAACUUGCGAUGCAUCCAACCUAGUAACUGCAUCAAAGAAGUGCAAUGGUGAAGCCAUAUGGUAUGAAGUGUAGUUUUGGUUCUCUUGUAACAGAGAUUUUCUUCCAAAAUGGAAAAGUUCAAUAGAGAUUGAAUACCUUCAUUUUUAAAAUCCUUCUUCAGAGUUUGAUGUCUGAUCACUUCAGUAGUGAGGAGAGGAUGAGAGAAGCAGCUUUUGAUAGUAAGCCGCAUGACUGUUUAUGAAUAGGAUAUUGAAUUGUUGCUGAAAGCUUCCAAGGGUCUGAGAUACAGGUGGGUAAAGAGAAACACACAGAAAGUUACAAGAUUUGGUGAUUUGGUUGGCUAUUCCUUUUCAAGAUCAAAUCAUGUGGCCAAAUGGUAUGUGGGUUCCAGUACCCACAAGCUGUUGAUUCUGUCUGAUCCAUGCACUUAAUGCAUGUGUGAGGUUGGUUGCAGGUCAAUCUGUGAAGGGAUCUGGUAUACUACUACAGAUUUUGUGAAGUUGCUGGAGAAAGCUCUAAGCAUAUUGGGCUUCAUCUGAAGAUAAUUUCGGAUCUUGUUUCCUCAUAAAAGAGCAUAUCCAGCUUUGAAUACCAGUCUUAUGUUUUGAUGAUAGGAACUACAUGGUCAUCAAAUGUCACUGAGCUGAUGGAGAUGGAUUAGCCUGAGUGGGAGACCAAACAGUGGAAAUUGAAAGGGACAGGCAUAGAGGUGGAAAGGGUAUGAUGAUGAGGGCAAAUCUCUGCGCCAAGGAAAAAAAAAAAAGAACACCUGUCUUCCUGUAUGGCAAUCAACAAUUCCUUAGGUUCUCCGUCAUGUGAUUAAAGCCAGAAAUGGGUUUGAUUCAAAUUUGGGAGGUUUAUGGAUAUGACAGUGGGCUAUUGCUUUGUACCCUAUCCUUGCCUUUGGAUCUUAAAAUGAAGUUCUACAUCCAUCAUGAAUAAUGGAAUACUCAUUUUGUGUGGAUGAAACAAAUAUGAUCUCUGGAAAUGCUGCCAUUCCCACUGAAACCAAACCAUCUGCUGCUUAUCAAAUACUAAAAGUGGAUCACAUUCUCAAUUGUAGUAGGGUCUGAGCACACGAUCGUGACAUCCUCCUUUUGAGAAGCGAACGAGAUAUAUAGGACCCAUUGGGAUGGUGCUGUUUGUCAGGGUGUCAUUGGUAUAUACUUUCAACUCGGCUUUUAAACAAAUGCUGCCUUGUCUUUCUCCUCCUGUAGAUUGCAAGCCCUUCCACAACCCAACAGUCACUAAGCAGGGAAAGGGAUAAGGGUUUGCAUAUGGGUGAGUUGUGGCAAGCUGCCUCAAUUGGGGACGUUCUGAAGCCUCACAACCGAAUUGUCAUCAAUCAGGCCAAGAUAAUGAAAUGAGAAGGAAGUGAUGUGAAUGGUUGAUUUAGUGAGGAGCAGCCGUUGGUGACAUGAGUAGAAUGUAAUAGGGAAAGUGAAGUGCACUGAGCCUAUUAAACAAUAAAAGCAGAGAUAAGAGAGAUAGAGAGAGGGCAACGACUAACAAGCCAUUGGAACUCUCUCUCUGGCCUCUUCCCCUUUGUCUUCUUAGCAUUUUCUCUAUGGCUUCUUCACCGACCGACGGGACGUCUACCCUACAUCCAUCCCUCUUUCUCUUCCUCUCUCUCGCUUCAUGUUCCCUUCUCAUUUUCACAAUUGUUGAUCUGACGGCUGAGGCUCCCUGUAGACCAAAAGAUAUAUGGCCCUCUGAUCAGCCAAUUUUCAUGGUCGGUAAACAUUUGUCUACCCACGUGACGUGGCAGGUUUUUGACCACUCUUUUUGGGUAAGUAGUCUACCCAUAUCCCGAUGAUGGCGGCUUUGACUCGCAUAAAUAGACAUAGGAUUCAGAAAAGUUUCAGGGAAAAGUAUGGUUACACCUUGAGUAGACUAGCAAAUAUAAUGGAUGGACCUCCCUAUCGUGUCGAAUAUAUAGACAAGGUUAGCACAUGUUUGUAGUGUUUGCCUUAGAUGGAGGAAAUGGAUUGGUGCGUUAUUCUUGAGAUCUGGCCCACAAAUGACUCCCUACUUUCUCUUGAUGUCCUUCUUUACCAUAUACUUUUGCAUCAAUUUCCACUCUUUGUAUCAUUGAUUGGACUUAGAUUAUUGAAAUUGAAGUUAGUUGUAAUAACUAAUUCUUAAUUGUGUAAAUAUUGUACAUUAUAAUUCAAUGAGCUUUCAUGAUUGUAA